rnacentral:rRNA from 1 species
UACAGAGGGUGCAAGCGUUGUUCGGAUUUACUGGGCGUAAAGCGUGCGUAGGUUGUAUUGAGAGUCGCGGGUGAAAUCCCAGGGCUUAACCCUGGAACUGCCUGCGAGACCUCAGUACUGGAGUAUGAAAGAGGAUAGUGGAAUUCCUGGUGUAGCGGUGAAAUGCGUAGAGAUCAGGAGGAACACCUGUGGCGAAGGCGGCUAUCUGGUUCAUUACUGACACUGAGGCACGAAAGCGUGGGUAGCAAAC